UGCCUCUUUGAAGCUUUCCCCACUUAUGAACAUGCGACUGAUAAAAUCCCCUGGAUGGCAGAUUGGUCAGUUUGUUUGGUUUUUUUUUUUUAAAAAGAGAAAGAAACAAGAAAAAGUUAAGUUGGUUCAAUACACCAUUCUAGUAAUUUGCAAAAUAAAAAGCUGUUUGGUUAGGCUAGAGCUCAUGAGCAAUGGCAGCAGCAGAGGCUAGCUGGUAGUUUGACACCGCUACAGAAUUUGCAGUGGGGAAGAGUCUGCAGGGACAAGUUUCCAUGUGCUACGUGUCAGGCAGUGCUGGCAGCUAUGCUAGUUUCUCCAAAACUCUGGUAAAGCCAGAUGGACACUGGUUGCCGUGGCUAACUGAAGGCUUAUUUUCAAUGACAUGCAAAAGCAAACUGUAUAAUAGGGAACUGUCUUCUAAGGAACUGUUUUUUCUAAACUUGCACCUACAUUCUCAGUGUUGCACAAAAUUUGUAUAAAUAUGCAUUAUUUUUUUAUUGCUGUAACAUCUCAGAGCCCAACUCAAGGAACAGGACAUUAUUGUCCUGUUUUAUACAGACACUAAAAAAAAAAUCUUCCUCAACAGAGCUUUGUGGUAAAAUACAUGGGGUGGUUUAGAGAAAAAGGGUGGCAGUUUGAAAGGAAGGACUGAGGACUUCAGCAGGUUAUGGUCAGCAAAGGAAAUAGUUAAUUUUGACUUACUACCAUCAGAUUUCAGAGCUAAGCUCAUUAGCAAGUUCCCAGCACUAAGAAAUAACAUAUAAUGCUCUCUGCUGAUUCAGGAAGAUACUGGUUCCCACAGCACUUCUCCCCCCCCCCCCCCCCCCAGUUAUAAGUGAGAGACUAAAUAUAAAUAAAUUAGAUAGCCUAGAGCACAGUUCACUAAAGAUGGAUUCUCUCACUUCAGAAAUGGGCUCUGCAAAGCCCUGGUCACCAGGGUUCACUGAAAAAAGGCAGAUUUCUAAUACUGCUCUUAAAAAAAACAUAAUGAGCUUUUAUUCCCCCUUCCAGCUCCUAAGGAGCAGGAAUUGCCCCACAUCCCUCGCACAGCUCUGACAGUCUCCAGACAAUUCGCUCCCUAUCCAAAUUCCUGAUGCCAUUGCUCUUUAGACUCUCUUGGCCCCCUUUGCCAUCCUAAAGGACCAGCAAUGGGCAAAGAAUCAAUACAGGCUGCAACCUUCUGAGCUGCUGGUGACACAUCUACAAACGGCACAUAGAAACUUACUCUCUUUACUGCUGCUUGGCGUGAAGUGGUCCAUAAGGUAACUGAAGAAGUUGUGAAGCUGCAAGAAGAGAGAGAGCCCAUCAGCAUUCACCCUGGAAUGAAAUUCUGCAGAGUGGCAACUUAACAUGAUUCUUCUUUCUGGAAGUAUUAUCUAUGCCCCUCUCAUACUAUACCAAUUCCAGUUUUGAAUAUCUUGUGAUGAAGUCAAAAAAGUAGCUUUACCUUGAGCCAUACAGGCAGAAGUACACCUGUAAGUCCUCCCUCUCCCUGCCUGACAGCAAGGCAACCAUAUAAGAGAAUAUUAAUCAAAGUUAAAGUAUAACAAACCAACUAGGUUGCCUAUUGUGUUCAGACUCAGGAAAAACAAUGUUAAAUGGUCCUUACGGCUUUCUUUCAAGACUCGUUACUUAGGGUUUCAUCAGACGUAAGCAGGCAGGAAAUCGAUAGGCUAAAAAUGGGCAGAAAACCCAGUCCUUGGCCCACUGAAGCACUUACAGGAUUACCAGCCAGUAGCCAGAAACGAGCGAGUCUGUGGCGCAGAAACCACCCUCCUAUGUAUUUUCCUACAUACUCUUUUCCUUGGCGCCUUACCUUGAUCUGAUCCUGCUCGCAAGCGUACUCAAUGGAUUGAAAGAUUCUCCAGGUGCAACGUCGGCGCAUUUCCAGCCGAGCAACGUAGCGCCGAUACCACUGUUGGAUCAAGACGGCUGCCUUGAAAGCUAGGGGACAAAACCAGGACCAACCUGCUGAGCUGGAGUGGCUGCAGCUGAGGUACCCUGCUACCGCUCCUUUCCCAACCCUGAAAAUUGAAAAGCGUCCUUCUUUUUCAGGAGCAAGUUUUCAGGAAAGGUGUUCUGAUGCCUAAAUACUAAGGGUAACAAAACACCUGCUGCUUUUCACCAUAUUGCAAGAGGUUGAUCUGACCCUGCCUGACCAGAGACCUCUGAAGCACUUCUAACCAUCGCUGCUGGCUCCUCAGCACCAGAGUUAACAACAACCUAUUACGGCCUAAAGAUCCAAACACGUUCUUCAAUAUUAAGAGACAAUUUUCUCCCUUUCUAUUUACCUUGAUUAUUUUCCUGUCUGUCUUAGAGUCUAGGUACUGGGGCUUCAGGAAACCAGAGAUAUGACUGAGGCCACACAAGGAGUUGGUGUAAAACAAGACACCGAGUCCCCCUCCAGAGCCUUAAAAAUAUGGGGUUUGUCUACCUUCCUUGAAUCUAAAUAAAUACCUCAGCUUUUGCAGUUCUGGACAAACUUCAGAAGGGAUCUAUUCUAGCAUAAAUCUUAACAUACCAUUAUUUUGGAAUAAAAUAAAGACAAAAUCAACACCCACAACAAAAAGAGGGAGACAGAUCUUUGGCCACUUAAUGACACAGAAGGAACAAAAUGCAAGGAAUUUCCAGGUGCCGGGUCGUGGUUCAAUCCCCAGCCAGAACUGGCACCAGGCUCUUCCCUCCAAAUGAUGCCUAUUUGCCCUGAUCUUUAAAAUAUAACCAUUCCUCUGCAUUUCCCCAAUUCCAGUGUUUUUCAUUAAAAGAUUAUUUCAGAUGGGUGUGUGCAUAUUUGAAGUGAAGUACAUUGGUGCAGUUUCCCAUUUCCUUUUUCAAGUUCUGUCACAGAACUUUAUGUACCUCUAGAAACAAUUUCAUCCUCCUUGGCUGGUUUUGACCCCAUUUGGACCGCCUGGUUACUUUACGGUACCUUGCCGACCAGCUCUGCUACUUGGCAUCUCCUUUUGAUUAUGCUCUGUGUCCCUUCCUGUUCAUUUCUGGACCCCUACCCUAGAGCCCUAUGCUUAAAACAUUUUGUAACGAUGCUUCUCUGUGUCAUCUUUAGCUGAGGGAGGGAGGGAUGACCGCUCUGUCUACAGGCUGGCCCCAAAAUCAAAUGGAGACGACAGUUACAGAGUUAGCCCUGCUGCAGAAGCUCAUAUUCCCUUGGCAUCUGGUUUGUGAGAGAGCACUACCGCAUUCACCAAAGCAGGGAGAGCAAUGGGGUGUGGGGGGUGGAAAAGCUUUAUAAAAGGAAGGAAAUCCCCCACCCUUACCCCAAAGGUUGCUAAGUGCUGGCAAGAGACAAAGAGAUCACAUUAAUUCGAUUAGCUUGCAUUAAUUAUGUAACAUAAACCACCCUUCAUGUACUUCAGCAGGAAACAUUGACCUUUACCUACAUAAGAUAUCCUGAUGGUUUACGUACUGAAAAUAGUAAUCCUUCUAAAUUAUGUUACUGUUACAGCACUAGGAGCUGCAGAGUGCAAAAAGAGAAGAGCUGUUGCUGUUGUGCAGCUGAGGAACUGAGUCAUGGUGAAGUCAUGGGCAAGAAGCCUGUGGGUCUUCUGCCUGACAGCUGAGACUCCUUGUCACAGGAUACUGAAAGACAUAACGUUGCCUCAAUGCUAUGAAAAAAAACAGGUAACUCAGAAAAGAAACACAUCCACUGCAGCCUCCCAAGGGCAUGUGCAGGAACAGAUGGGAAAAGUUUACUUUUCAAAGAAUCACUCACCAUUUUCAGACUUCUGCAGGGAGUACUUGUAGUUGGCAUUUACAGAACUACCAGAUCCCAUGUUCUCCAACCAAUUCUCCUAGAACGUUGCAGACUAGCACGGUAUCACCAAAACCACGGAAGAGAUGCAGGAAAGACCAUUCGGUCAGAAUCAAAACAGCUGCAACAUGUCCCACAGUGCCGAGAAUCUAUAAUUAAAUACAUUAACGCUUAUUAAGAUCAACAAGCAGAUGGCCUGUCUUGUGCCCAAGUACAUCUUUUACUACCAGGUUUUUCCAGCUACUUUGUUGUCUUCUAGACAAUCUGAGGUGAGGAUUUCUGUCUUACUGUUUCAAAUUUCGAGUCAGCUAUAUGAAUAGGAAUCUUUUCAGCACCUUUCAUAAUUGUAUAAAAAUAGCAGAGAUUGCCUGUCUAGGUACUGUAAUUGUAUGGUAGAUGCAUAAAUCAGGCAUUCAUGUACUCUCACAGUACCUCACAUGCCUAAUUUUAGGCUCCUGAACUCUUAGCAAUAUGGCAGUCUUUGACCUGAACCUUCAUUUCAGAUGCUACAAUAAAAUAAUCUUGAUUGAGUUUUGAGAGCACACUACAUGUCCGAAUCCUCAUGCUACCUCCCCGCUUCCCCAUGCACAGCCGAAGCGCCUGGAUGAAGGUGCUAAAAUACUACACAUGACUGCAUGUGGGAGGCAUUCGUACACUGUACAGAAAAAAAGAAAAAAGUUUUUCAAUACUGAUCAGGAACGAUAAAAGUCAUUAACGUGAUUCAUUAACAAUCAGUAUAUGCAGACAAAUAUUCAUGCAUAUAGCCAUCUGUGAAGGAUAACUCUCAUUAUGAGGGAUGAGCACACAAAUAGUAUUUAGAUCUAUUUGCAGUGCCACAGCUAGAGGGGAGAUAAGUCUAAAAUAACAAUUAGCUAUCAUAAGAAAAUAAUCAGCUUUGUUAAACGCUGCUUUCCUUCACCUUGUGGAUCUGCUUGAGUGUGGGAGCAUAGUAUACCGUCAAACGCUCAGAUCCUGGCCAGUAUAAGAGGACAGGAUAGCCAGACUUUUGUAACCUCACUGCUGCAGAAAGCUCUAGUCAGAGCAAACGGAUCCUAUCGCAAGAUUAGGACAAAUUCUGAAAUCUCUCACUUUUAGGACAACCAGAAUGUCGUUCACAGUCGGACAUGUUUCCUCUGGGAAAAAAACAAAACAAUCACGUACUACUGCCAAAGCGGUCCCAGGAUGUAUCGCAUAAGAAUUAUACAGAUUCUUAUUCUAACCCAGAACUGGGGGAGGAGAAAUCUGAGAAACGGAGGGAAGGGAAGGAAAGAAACACCUGUAAAAAUGUUAAGCCUGGUCCUAGCAGGAGACCACAGCUCAAAGGAUUUUGAAGGGUCAGGACAGUGUGACUACAGAGGCAGUUCUCCCCAGCAGAGGGAAAAGUCCUUCUCCUUUUCUCGCUUCCCGCAAUCCUUUUGCCUCCUUCAAUCUCUUUCCACCUAACCCACAUCUUUCCUCUCAAAAUAGCUACAGAUCUGCACAAAUGCUAAUUGAAGGAGCACGUCCGGUGUUGUAUAAGGUGCAUGUGUGCAGUGUUUGCUCAGGAAGAUGAACUGUGCUAAACAACAUUUCAGCAUGGAAAGUUUCUAAGGCAAGUGAAAUGCUGAAAUUCUUUACCUUGCCUAGGAUGCCAAAUUGCACAAUGGCAUCUUCGCAAUAACUGGGUGACACAACAGGAGGAUAUGCAGCAAUGCUCUCAACAAAAUACCAAUCGCUCUAGUUUUAUUCUAACAACAUUAUUUCAUAACAUUGUCAAAAAUGGCCUGAAAUCACUGCUGAAUUAUGCCCAGUUAUAUCUGGUGCUUUAUAGCCUUUGUGCUUAAAUAAUGCAGGUACUCUGACAACUUUUCGGAUUAUUAACUACUCAAAUGGACAAUUGCACACAAAAAUCAGAAUCCCUAGCAUUUAAGGCUCUUAUUUGUAACCUCCUGUACACGGCAAAUCCCAUUUCAGGAAAAACAAAUUUUCAAGCUCAGAAUUUCUGAGUGUAGCCUUCUAACUCCCAUCUCACUAUCCAAACAAAAAUUUAUUUUCAAAGACACAGAUCUGAAGAUUUCAGCAAGUAUUAGCUGUCCAGAGAAACAAUGAUGUGAAUGAUUCACUCUGUAUCAGGAGCUUGCUUUAGAAACAAUCCUCCCCAAGCACCUCUACUUACUGCAUCCUGGUACAACCUCGCAGGGCAUUCUGAAACACCGUGACGCAGGUUCCUUUCAGAUAAAAUGACACCAGAAGACACAUUCCAGCUAUUAAUGGGAGUUCCGUCCACAGGACCAGAUUCAAGCCAGUCCCAAGAAAAAAGCCCUGAAACAUGGUUAGUGUAGACAACUGUUCCUCCACACUGGGGGUCAACACAGCCUGUGUGCCUACACGUAUCUUCAGUGCUGCUUUGGAACCUGACAGUACCAGCUUCAAAGGAAGACGGAUGCUUCAGCUUUUUGGAAGAGGCCUCUCCCAAGCAAUUCUUGGAGCUGCAAACUUUUUCACUUCAUUACCCUCACAUUUUUCUGAGGGCCAUAGCCUGAGCAAGGGAGUGCAGAGCAGUAAACCAGAAACUCCAAUGGAAUC